rnacentral:rRNA from 1 species
UACGUAGGGUGCGAGCGUUAAUCGGAAUUACUGGGCGUAAAGCGUGCGCAGGCGGUUUGUUAAGCCAGAUGUGAAAUCCCCGGGCUUAACCUGGGAAUGGCAUUUGGGACUGCAAGGCUUGAGUGCGGCAGAGGAGACUGGAAUUCCUGGUGUAGCAGUGAAAUGCGUAGAUAUCAGGAGGAACACCGAUGGCGAAGGCAGGUCUCUGGGCUGACACUGACGCUCAUGCACGAA